CCUACGGGUGGCAGCAGUGGGGAAUAUUGGGCAAUGGGCGCAAGCCUGACCCAGCAACGCCGCGUGAAGGAAGAAGGCUUUCGGGUUGUAAACUUCUUUUCUCAGGGACGAAGCAAGUGACGGUACCUGAGGAAUAAGCCACGGCUAACUACGUGCCAGCAGCCGCGGUAAUACGGAGGGGGCAAGCGUUAUCCGGAUUUACUGGGUGUAAAGGGCGUGUAGGCGGGAAAGCAAGUCAGAUGUGAAAACCAUGGGCUCAACCUGUGGCCUGCAUUUGAAACUGUUUUUCUUGAGUACUGGAGAGGCAGACGGAAUUCCUAGUGGAGCGGUGAAAUGCGUAGAUAUUAGGAGGAACACCAGUGGCGAAGGCGGUCUGCUGGACAGCAACUGACGCUGAGGCGCGAAAGCGUGGGGAGCAAACAGGAUUAGAUACCCUAGUAGUC
rnacentral:rRNA from 1 species